UACGGAGGGGGCUAGCGUUGUUCGGAAUUACUGGGCGUAAAGGGCGCGUAGGCGGCGCGAUAAGUUGGGCGUGAAAGGCCCGGGCUCAACCCGGGGACUGCGCUUGAUACUGUCGCGCUGUGAGUCCGGGAGAGGAUGGCGGAAUUCCCAGUGUAGAGGUGAAAUUCGUAGAUAUUGGGAGGAACACCGGUGGCGAAGGCGGCGACCUGGGACAAUACUGACGCUGAGGUGCGAAAGCGUGGGGAGCAAACAGG
rnacentral:rRNA from 1 species